GGGUUGUGAGGUUAAGCGACUAAGCGUACACGGUGGAUGCCCUGGCAGUCAGAGGCGAUGAAGGACGUGCUAAUCUGCGAUAAGCGUCGGUAAGGUGAUAUGAACCGUUAUAACCGGCGAUUUCCGAAUGGGGAAACCCAGUGUGUUUCGACACACUAUCAUUAACUGAAUCCAUAGGUUAAUGAGGCGAACCGGGGGAACUGAAACAUCUAAGUACCCCGAGGAAAAGAAAUCAACCGAGAUUCCCCCAGUAGCGGCGAGCGAACGGGGAGCAGCCCAGAGCCUGAAUCAGUAUGUGUGUUAGUGGAAGCGUCUGGAAAGGCGCGCGAUACAGGGUGACAGCCCCGUACACAAAAAUGCACAUGCUGUGAGCUCGAUGAGUAGGGCGGGACACGUGGUAUCCUGUCUGAAUAUGGGGGGACCAUCCUCCAAGGCUAAAUACUCCUGACUGACCGAUAGUGAACCAGUACCGUGAGGGAAAGGCGAAAAGAACCCCGGCGAGGGGAGUGAAAAAGAACCUGAAACCGUGUACGUACAAGCAGUGGGAGCACGCUUAGGCGUGUGACUGCGUACCUUUUGUAUAAUGGGUCAGCGACUUAUAUUCUGUAGCAAGGUUAACCGAAUAGGGGAGCCGAAGGGAAACCGAGUCUUAACUGGGCGUUAAGUUGCAGGGUAUAGACCCGAAACCCGGUGAUCUAGCCAUGGGCAGGUUGAAGGUUGGGUAACACUAACUGGAGGACCGAACCGACUAAUGUUGAAAAAUUAGCGGAUGACUUGUGGCUGGGGGUGAAAGGCCAAUCAAACCGGGAGAUAGCUGGUUCUCCCCGAAAGCUAUUUAGGUAGCGCCUCGUGAAUUCAUCUCCGGGGGUAGAGCACUGUUUCGGCAAGGGGGUCAUCCCGACUUACCAACCCGAUGCAAACUGCGAAUACCGGAGAAUGUUAUCACGGGAGACACACGGCGGGUGCUAACGUCCGUCGUGAAGAGGGAAACAACCCAGACCGCCAGCUAAGGUCCCAAAGUCAUGGUUAAGUGGGAAACGAUGUGGGAAGGCCCAGACAGCCAGGAUGUUGGCUUAGAAGCAGCCAUCAUUUAAAGAAAGCGUAAUAGCUCACUGGUCGAGUCGGCCUGCGCGGAAGAUGUAACGGGGCUAAACCAUGCACCGAAGCUGCGGCAGCGACGCUGAUGCGUUGUUGGGUAGGGGAGCGUUCUGUAAGCCUGCGAAGGUGUGCUGUGAGGCAUGCUGGAGGUAUCAGAAGUGCGAAUGCUGACAUAAGUAACGAUAAAGCGGGUGAAAAGCCCGCUCGCCGGAAGACCAAGGGUUCCUGUCCAACGUUAAUCGGGGCAGGGUGAGUCGACCCCUAAGGCGAGGCCGAAAGGCGUAGUCGAUGGGAAACAGGUUAAUAUUCCUGUACUUGGUGUUACUGCGAAGGGGGGACGGAGAAGGCUAUGUUGGCCGGGCGACGGUUGUCCCGGUUUAAGCGUGUAGGCUGGUUUUCCAGGCAAAUCCGGAAAAUCAAGGCUGAGGCGUGAUGACGAGGCACUACGGUGCUGAAGCAACAAAUGCCCUGCUUCCAGGAAAAGCCUCUAAGCAUCAGGUAACAUCAAAUCGUACCCCAAACCGACACAGGUGGUCAGGUAGAGAAUACCAAGGCGCUUGAGAGAACUCGGGUGAAGGAACUAGGCAAAAUGGUGCCGUAACUUCGGGAGAAGGCACGCUGAUAUGUAGGUGAAGCGACUUGCUCGUGGAGCUGAAAUCAGUCGAAGAUACCAGCUGGCUGCAACUGUUUAUUAAAAACACAGCACUGUGCAAACACGAAAGUGGACGUAUACGGUGUGACGCCUGCCCGGUGCCGGAAGGUUAAUUGAUGGGGUCAGCGCAAGCGAAGCUCUUGAUCGAAGCCCCGGUAAACGGCGGCCGUAACUAUAACGGUCCUAAGGUAGCGAAAUUCCUUGUCGGGUAAGUUCCGACCUGCACGAAUGGCGUAAUGAUGGCCAGGCUGUCUCCACCCGAGACUCAGUGAAAUUGAACUCGCUGUGAAGAUGCAGUGUACCCGCGGCAAGACGGAAAGACCCCGUGAACCUUUACUAUAGCUUGACACUGAACAUUGAGCCUUGAUGUGUAGGAUAGGUGGGAGGCUUUGAAGUGUGGACGCCAGUCUGCAUGGAGCCGACCUUGAAAUACCACCCUUUAAUGUUUGAUGUUCUAACGU
rnacentral:rRNA from 1 species